rnacentral:tRNA from 1 species
CCCAGGUGGCGAUAGUGGAAAAGAAUCUGCCUGCAAAGCAGGAGGCCCAGGUUCGAUCCCUGGAUCAGGAA